rnacentral:rRNA from 1 species
UGGGGAAUAUUGCACAAUGGAGGGAACUCUGAUGCAGCGACGCCGCGUGAACGAAGAAGGCUUUCGAGUCGUAAAGUUCUUUUAUAUGGGAAGAUAAUGACGGUACCAUAAGAAAAAGCCCCGGCUAACUACGUGCCAGCAGCCGCGGUAAUACGUAGGGGGCUAGCGUUGUCCGGAAUCACUGGGGGUAAAGGGUUCGCAGGCGGAAAUGCAAGUCAGGUGUAAAAGGCAGUAGCUUAACUACUGUAAGCAUUUGAAACUGCAAAUCUUGAGAAGAGUAGAGGUAAGUGGAAUUGUUAGUGUAGCAGUGAAAUGCGUAGAUAUUAAAAAGCAUACCAGUGGCGAAGGCGGCUUACGGGGAUCAGUCUGACGCUGAGGAUCGAAAGCGUGGAUGGCAGACAGG